rnacentral:misc_RNA from 1 species
GAUGAAGAACGUAGCGAAAUGCGAUAAGUAGUGUGAAUUGCAGAAUUCAGUGAAUCAUCGAAUCUUUGAACGCACAUUGCGCCCCUUGGUAUUCCAUGGGGCAUGCCUGUUCGAGCGUCAUUUGUACCUUCAAGCUUUGCUUGGUGUUGGGUGUUUGUCUCGCCUUUGCGUGUAGACUCGCCUUAAAAUAAUUGGCAGCCGGCGUAUUGAUUUCGGAGCGCAGUACAUCUCGCGCUUUGCACUCAUAACGACAGCGUCCAAAAGUACAUUUUACACUCUUGACCUCGGAUCAGGUAGGGAUACCCGCUGAACUUAAGAAUAUCAAUAAGCCGAGGA